UACGAAGGGGGCUAGCGUUGCUCGGAAUCACUGGGCGUAAAGGGUGCGUAGGCGGGUUCUUAAGUCAGAGGUGAAAUCCUGGAGCUCAACUCCAGAACUGCCUUUGAUACUGGCGAUCUCGAGUCCGGGAGAGGUGAGUGGAACUGCGAGUGUAGAGGUGAAAUUCGUAGAUAUUCGCAAGAACACCAGUGGCGAAGGCGGCUCACUGGCCCGGUACUGACGCUGAGGUGCGAAAGCGUGGGGAGCAAACAGG
rnacentral:rRNA from 1 species